rnacentral:rRNA from 1 species
CCAGGUUGAUUCUGCCUGACGUAGACGCUAUUCCCUAAGAUUAACCCAUGCAUGUUAUUGAUUUUUGAAAAAUGGACUGCUCAGUAAUACUCACUUUAUUUUAUGUAUACUUAUUAUAACUACGUUAAAGUGUAGAUAAAAUGUAUACAGUAAGAGUGAGACCUAUCAGCUAGUUGUUAAGGUAAUGGCUUAACAAGGCAGUGACGGGUAACGGUAUUACUUUGUAAUAUUCCGGAGAAGGAGCCUGGGAGACGGCUACUAAGUCUAAGGAUUGCAGCAGGGGCGAAACUUGACCUAUGGAUUUUAUCUGAGGCAGUUAUGGGAAGUAAUAUUAUAUUGUUUCAUAUUUUAAAAGUAUAUGAGGUGAUUAAUUGGAGGGCAAAUCAAGUGCCAGCAGCCGCGGUAAUACUUGUUCCAAGAGUGUGUAUGAUGAUUGAUGCAGUUAAAAAGUCCGUAGUUUAUUUUUAAGAAGCAAUAUGAGGUGUACUGUAUAGUUGGGAGAGAGGUGAAAUGUGACGACCCUGACUGGACGAACA